AGGAGAAGAGUGUGUGAGAUUAGCCAAGCUGACCGGCCUGGAAACUCAUGCUAAAUUAAGGGUCUCAGGCUGGCCUGGACAUAAAAAGCCUUGUGCAUGCAUGAGAGCAGGCAAGUCAUCCUUGGCUACCAAACACUACUAGCUCACUCUUCUCU
rfam:Daucus carota subsp. sativus cultivar DH1 chromosome 5, whole genome shotgun sequence.